rnacentral:rRNA from 1 species
ACCCUGAUGCAGCGAUGCCGCGUGAGUGAGAAAGGCCUUUGGGUGUAAAAGCUCUUUCGUCGGGGAAGAAAAUGACUGUACCCGAAUAAGAAGGUCCGGCUAACUUCGUGCCAGCAGCCGCGGUAAUACGAAGGGACCUAGCGUAGUUCGGAAUUACUGGGCUUAAAGAGUUCGUAGGUGGUUAAAAAAGUUGGUGGUGAAAUCCCAGAGCUUAACUCUGGAACUGCCAUCAAAACUUUUUAGCUAGAGUAUGAUAGAGGAAAGCAGAAUUUCUAGUGUAGAGGUGAAAUUCGUAGAUAUUAGAAAGAAUACCAAUUGCGAAGGCAGCUUUCUGGAUCAUUACUGACACUGAGGAACGAAAGCAUGGGUAGCGAAGAGGAUUAGAUACCCUCGUAGUCCAUGCCGUAAACGAUGUGUGUUAGACGUUGGAAAUUUAUUUUCUGUGUCGCAGCGAAAGCAAUAAACACACCGCCUGGGGAGUACGACCGCAAGGUUAAAACUCAAAUGAAUUGACGGGGACCCGCACAAGUAGUGGAGCAUGUGGUUUAAUUCGAAGAUACGCGCAGAACCUUACCAACACUUGACAUGUUCGUCGCGACUUUAAGAGAUUAAAGUUUUCGGUUCGGCCGGACGAAACACAGGUGCUGCAUGGCUGUCGUCAGCUCGUGUCGUGAGAUGUUGGGUUAAGUCCCGCAACGAGCGCAACCCUCACUUUUAGUUGCCAUCAUUUAGUUGGGCACUCUGAAAGAACUGCCAGUGAUAAGCUGGAGGAAGGUGGGGAUGACGUCAAGUCCUCAUGGCCCUUACGUGUUGGGCUACACACGUGCUACAAUGGCAUUUACAAUAGGAAGCAAGACGGCGACGUUAAGCAAAUCCUAAAAAAAUGCCUCAGUUCGGAUUGUACUCUGCAACUCGAGUACAUGAAGCUGGAAUUACUAGUAAUCGCGGAUCAGCGCGC